UACGUAGGGGGCGAGCGUUAUCCGGAUUUACUGGGCGUAAAGCGCGUUAAGGCGGUUGGCAAAGUUGGUUGUGAAAUCUCAGGGCUCAACCCUGAAAUUGCGACCAAUACUGGUCGACUAGAGUGCAAGAGAGGAAGGUGGAAUUCCCGGUGUAGUAGUGAAAUGCGUAGAUAUCGGGAGGAACACCAGUGGCGAAGGCGGCCUUCUGGCUUGCAACUGACGCUGUAGCGCGAAAGCGUGGGGAGCGAACCGG
rnacentral:rRNA from 1 species